GGGAAUUUCACAGAACACCAGUGUGAAGCAUUUUUUGAUUUCUCUGGUGUAAAUACCCUCACUGUGGUUGACUACAAGCUGCCACUGGUGGACUCACUGAUCAGAGGAUAGAAUGUGCACCAGAGACCCUUGUUAGCUGGGAUGAGCUGAUGGGGUUUUGUUUCUGUGCCAUCUAUUCAUCCAUCCAUCCAUCCAUGACAGGACCACAACCACAUCUUUAGGCAGGAGCCACAGAGGGGGCAGAGUCCAGUACCCACAGGGAGGCAGUGAGCACAAGCAGACAGUGUGUCAGGGCUCCAGUCCCACAAACUGGAUUGGCCUGGCUUAGAGGCAGCAGGACCCAGUGCUAAGUCAUAGAGCUGAGUCAAGAUUUCAGCCAAGAGUGGGAGGAAGACUGUGCACAAAGAGGCUGCAGGGGUGCCAGCCCUCAUUUCAGAUCUCCUUCAAAACCAGCAUCAAGACCCGGUGAGUGAUGCCCAUGGAUUGAUGCCGUGGAUGCUAUGGAUGGUUUUUCUCUCCUGGUCAGACCUGGCUCAGACACAAAUAAGGGGGAACUGGCUGCAGGACAUCACUAUCUACUCCCAAGCCAGGACUGGAUGGAUCAAGGACUCCAGUCAACCCCCAGUGAAUGAAUCUGACAUCUUCAUCUACCUGCAUAAGAGCAAGAGAGUAUUCCUAUUCUUUGGACCACAGUAAGAGGGACAUAAAAGAUAACAGGGGCCUAACAACUGGCAACGGUGAAACUGCUUUGCCCAUGAGAGUGUCCCAAAUAUGGGGGCCAAUGUGCAUUCAACAUGUCUUCAUGUCACUGCAGUUUCAGGACUGUUUGAAAACUUGGAAAGAUGGAGAUGUAAAGGCCAGUAUAGAAAAUGUAAAUGGCUUCCCCAUAUUACCAUAGAUUGGAGAUCAUUUUUCCUAUUCUUUUCAAAUGGGGAGUGGAAUCUGAGCCUCAGCACUGAGUUUCCCACAGGAGCUUGGAAUCAAUGAAUAGUACAAAGUCCCUUAAAACCCCAGCACUACCAUUUCUUAGCUGUGUUACUUUGGAGAAAUGAAUUAAGCUUUCUGUGUCUCCC
rnacentral:lncRNA from 1 species